UAUAGAGUUCAGGACGCAUUUCCCGAUU
rnacentral:rRNA from 1 species